rnacentral:rRNA from 1 species
UACGAGGGAUCCUAGCGUUGUUCGGAAUCAUUGGGCGUAAAGGGUGCGUAGGCGGCCAUGUAAGUCAGUUGUGAAAUCCCCGGGCUCAACCCGGGAAGUGCUUCUGAUACUGCUUGGCUUGAGUAUUGGAGAGGUGAGUGGAAUUCCAGGUGUAGUGGUGAAAUACGUAGAUAUCUGGAGGAACACCGGCGGCGAAGGCGGCUCACUGGCCAUAUACUGACGCUGAAGCACGAAAGCGUGGGGAUCAAACAGG